rnacentral:rRNA from 1 species
GAUGAACGCUGGCGGCGUGCCUAAUACAUGCAAGUCGAGCGAACGGACGAGAAGCUUGCUUCUCUGAUGUUAGCGGCGGACGGGUGAGUAACACGUGGAUAACCUACCUAUAAGACUGGGAUAACUUCGGGAAACCGGAGCUACUACCGGAUAAUAUUUUGAACCGCAUGGUUCAAAAGUGAAAGACGGUCUUGCUGUCACUUAUAGAUGGUUCCGCGCUGCAUUAGCUAGUUGGUAAGGUAACGGCUUACCAAGGCAACGAUGCAUAGCCGACCUGAGAGGGUGAUCGGCCACACUGGAACUGAGACACGGUCCAGACUCCUACGGGAGGCAGCAGUAGGGAAUAUUCCGCAAUGGGCGCAAGCCUGACGGAGCAACGCCGCGUGAGUGAUGAAGGUCUUCGGAUCGUAAAGCUCUGUUAUUAGGGAAGAACAUAUGUGUAAGUAACUGUGCACAUCCUGACGGUACCUAAUCAGAAAGCCACGGCUAACUACGUG